CCUGGCGGCAGUAGCGCGGUGGUCCCACCUGACCCCAUGCCGAACUCAGAAGUGAAACGCCGUAGCGCCGAUGGUAGUGUGGGGUCUCCCCAUG
rnacentral:rRNA from 1 species